rnacentral:sRNA from 2 species
CGCGCCGUCCUAGGGGAGUAGUCUCCCGUGAGCGCCAGCUCACCCGGCGUGCGUCAACACACUUGCUCCGCAGAGCAUGGCGCAUGCGACCCGAGGCCCUCGCGGCCUGGGUU